rnacentral:rRNA from 1 species
UACAGAGGGUGCAAGCGUUAAUCGGAAUUACUGGGCGUAAAGCGUGCGUAGCCGGUCACGUAAGUCGGGUGUGAAAGCCCCGGGCUCAACCUGGGAAUUGCAUUCGAGACUGCAUGGCUAGGGUGCGGAAGAGGGAAGCGGAAUUUCCGGUGUAGCGGUGAAAUGCGUAGAUAUCGGAAGGAACACCAGUGGCGAAAGCGGCUUCCUGGUCCAGCACCGACGUUCAGGCACGAAAGCGUGGGGAGCAAACAGG